CCUACGGGAGGCAGCAGUGGGGAAUAUUGCACAAUGGGCGAAAGCCUGAUGCAGCGACGCCGCGUGAGGGAUGACGGCCUUCGGGUUGUAAACCUCUUUCAGCAGGGAAGAAGCGAAGGUGACGGUACCUGCAGAAGAAGCGCCGGCUAACUACGUGCCAGCAGCCGCGGUAAUACGUAGGGCGCAAGCGUUGUCCGGAAUUAUUGGGCGUAAAGAGCUCGUAGGCGGCUUGUCACGUCGGUUGUGAAAGCCCGGGGCUUAACCCCGGGUCUGCAGUCGAUACGGGCAGGCUAGAGUGUGGUAGGGGAGAUCGGAAUUCCUGGUGUAGCGGUGAAAUGCGCAGAUAUCAGGAGGAACACCGGUGGCGAAGGCGGAUCUCUGGGCCAUUACUGACGCUGAGGAGCGAAAGCGUGGGGAGCGAACAGGAUUAGAUACCCUGGUAGUCCACGCCGUAAACGGUGGGAACUAGGUGUUGGCGACAUUCCACGUCGUCGGUGCCGCAGCUAACGCAUUAAGUUCCCCGCCUGGGGAGUACGGCCGCAAGGCUAAAACUCAAAGGAAUUGACGGCUUGAGAGUUGCGAGGCGACACGAGGGAGGAGG
rnacentral:rRNA from 1 species